AUUGAACGCUGGCGGCAGGCUUAACACAUGAAAGUCGAGCGGGGGAAGGUAGCUUGCUACCGGACCUAGCGGCGGACGGGUGAGUAAUGCUUAGGAAUCUGCCUAUUAGUGGGGGACAACAUCUCGAAAGGGAUGCUAAUACCGCAUACGUCCUACGGGAGAAAGCAGGGGAUCUUCGGACCUUGCGCUAAUAGAUGAGCCUAAGUCGGAUUAGCUAGUUGGUGGGGUAAAGGCCUACCAAGGCGACGAUCUGGAGCGGGUCUGAGAGGAUGGUCCGCCACACUGGGACUGAGACACGGCCCAGACUCCUACGGGAGGCAGCAGUGGGGAAUAUUGGACAAUGGGGGGAACCCUGAUCCAGCCAUGCCGCGUGUGUGAAGAAGGCCUUAUGGUUGUAAAGCACUUUAAGCGAGGAGGAGGCUACUUUAGUUAAUACCUAGAGAUAGUGGACGUUACUCGCAGAAUAAGCACCGGCUAACUCUGUGCCAGCCGCCGCCGUAA
rnacentral:rRNA from 1 species